GAGGGAUGCUGUGUUGCAGGCCGGUCGGGGUGUGGGGAAAGAUAGUGGGCUCACUGUGCGCCAUUGCCGGUGUGCUCACCAUCGCCCUUCCCGUCCCAGUCAUCGUCUCCAAC
rfam:Rhodnius prolixus Rhodnius_prolixus-3.0.3-120.63, whole genome shotgun sequence.